UUGUGAAUAAUAGUAGAGAUAAAGCU
rnacentral:piRNA from 1 species